UUAAUUCGAUGCAACGCGAAGAACCUUACCUACUUUUGACAUCCUGCGAAUCCCGAUGAGAGUUGGGAGUGCCGAAAGGAACGCAGAGACAGGUGCUGCAUGGCUGUCGUCAGCUCGUGUUGUGAGAUGUUGGGUUAAGUCCCGUAACGAGCGCAACCCUUGUCCUUAGUUGCCAGCGAGUAAAGUUGGGGACUCUAAGGAGACUGCCGGUGAUGAACCGGAGGAAGGUGGGGACGACGUCAAGUCAUCAUGGCCUUUAUAAGUAGGGCUACACACGUGCUACAAUGGGGCGUACAGAGGGAAGCCAACCCGCGAGGGGGAGCGAAUCUCGGAAAGCGCCUCGUAGUCCGGAUUGGAGUCUGGAACUCGACUCCAUGAAGAUGGAAUCGCUAGUAAUCGCGAAUCAGCAACGUCGCGGUGAAUACGUUCCCGGGCCUUGUACACACCGCC
rnacentral:rRNA from 1 species